rnacentral:rRNA from 1 species
AUUGAACGCUGGCGGCAGGCCUAACACAUGCAAGUCGAACGAGUGGCGGACGGGUGAGUAAUGUCUGGGAAACUGCUCGAUGGAGGGGGAUAACUACUGGAAACGGUAGCUAAUACCGCAUACCAUCGGAUGUGCCCAGAUGGGAUUCGCUAGUAGGUGGGGUAACGGCUCACCUAGGCGACGAUCCCUAGCUGGUCUGAGAGGAUGACCGGCCACACUGGAACUGAGACACGGUCCAGACUCCUACGGGAGGCAGCAGUGGGGAAUAUUGCGCAAUGGGCGAAAGCCUGAUGCAGCCAUGCCGCGUGUAUGAAGAAGGUCUUCGGGUUGUAAAGUUCUUUCAGCGAGGAAGCGUUACUCAAAGAAAAAGCACCGGCUAACUCCGUGCCAGCCGCCGCGGUAAUUC